rnacentral:rRNA from 1 species
UUUCCGUAGGUGAACCUGCGGAAGGAUCAUUACCGUGCCCAAUGCGCUUUCGACGUAUAGUCGGCUGCGUACGUGUAGGACAAACCACAGAGCAGAAGCCCACGGUCGUAUACGGCUGCGGCGGCCUUUGACUAUGAGGCUCGUCGUCGUCCGUCGUCAACGACCAAGGACCGCUGGCCGCCGGGCCUGAGAAACCCGGCGGUGCCCGCGGGCGGUCCAAAACUAUGCAUACUUGUUGAAACUUCGGGGUACCUGUCGCGCGUUCGGCAUUGACCGUAAUUGUCGAAUGCGCGGUGAGCUGGCUGGUGGCUUCGGCCGCCGGCUUGGCGAAGGUUUAAAGAGCGCCCUAUGGUCGCCCCGAAGCCAUGUUUUUUGUUGUCUAUGUACGGUUGCUAUUCCGACGCCUGCUGGCCGACGGAGACCGCCCACGUCGUCUUGGGUGGACAAAGUUGGCCGGUACGGCGCUGCCCAAACUGGUAACAAGUGAUACAACUCUAAGCGGUGGAUCACUCGGCUCGUGUGUCGAUGAAGAGCGCAGCCAGCUGCGUGAAGUAAUGUGAAUUGCAGGACACAUUGAACAUCGACAUCUUGAACGCACAUUGCGGCCUCGGGCAUUCCCGAGGCCACGCCUGUCUCAGGGUCGGUUGAACUUAUCAAUCGUCGGUUGACCGUAUUUGCCGACGCAUUGGAUCGUCGCGGCUCGCGCUGACCGUAAAGGCGCGAUCGGCAUUGACCGUAUUUGUCGAUCGCGCUGCGCAGCCACGUCGUCCGAAGUACAGACGGGUCCAAAGCUUUGCCGACCGCAUGUCCUAAGUCCGCCUGUCGGACGGGGACGGCGACUCGGACCGUAAAGAGAAGCCGUUGCCUGUUCAUUGGCGGUACGGUUGGCGAAGCUGAGGAACCACGAAGCGGAAAAUGCGAGCGUCCAACGUCGUAUUCGGAACGGCGACGGGCGGCGGCCUCUUGACGUUGAGGUCCGUCGCGCGUCGCGCAUCCGUUGUCGACUGCGCGAUUGCAAGCGUUAAUCUUCUUCGACCUGAGAUCAGACGAGAUUACCCGCUGAAUUUAA